rnacentral:SRP_RNA from 2 species
AGCCGGGCCCCACGCAACGGUACGCCGUGAACUCCGCCAGGUCCGGAAGGAAGCAACGGCAGCGGCUUCCCCGUGUGCCGUGGGUAAGCCCGGCUAUC